rnacentral:lncRNA from 1 species
GUAUGACUGUCUGUGAGUGUCAAAAUGUCUGUAUGUGUGUAUGUCUGUCAGUGUCUGUGUGUAUGUGUGUUUCAGUAUGUCUGUCUGUGUGUACGUGUGCCAGAAUGUCUGUCAGUGUGUCAGUAUGUCUAUGUGUGAGUCUGUCAGUGUCCUUGUGGUUCUGUAUGUCUGUGUUUGUCAAUAUGUCUGUCAGUGUCUGUGUGUAUGUGUGUUUCAG